UACAGAGGGUGCGAGCGUUAAUCGGAAUUACUGGGCGUAAAGCGCACGUAGGCGGCUUGGUAUGUCGGGUGUGAAAUCCCCGGGCUCAACCUGGGAACUGCAUCCGAAACUGCCUUGCUAGAGUAUGGGAGAGGGAAGUGGAAUUUCCGGUGUAGCGGUGAAAUGCGUAGAUAUCGGAAAGAACACCAACGGCGAAAGCACUCUGCUGGGCCGACACUGACACUGAGAGACGAAAGCUAGGGGAGCGAAUGGG
rnacentral:rRNA from 1 species